UAUGUCUGUCUUCCUUUGCUGUUAGCAUAUCCUUCCUCAAUGUAGUGGCAGAUGGCAAGCAUAUUCACGUUGGGUUUUUGCCAAUUUCUCUAAGUUAUGUACCUAGUAGCUUCUACAUGGGUAAUGUACCCAGCCCCUGGGUCUCUUCAGAUGGAGAGCCAGUGUGACAUCAGAAAGACAGUGAUAGAACCCCAUCCUGUUGCCAAGACGUUACUACAUCAUCUCCUUCCCAGACGGGUGAUUUCCCACAGUGCCCAUCUUCACAGUGAGCAAAGCCACACCUCACAUCAUCACCACAGGAGGAUUGUCUCAUGACCGUGGAGUCCUUGCAUUUAUAUAAAAAAAAUAGUCAUGAUAACUAGGAAAGGCUGUCUCUUCAGGCAUUCAACCCAGUCUGGCUAGACAGGUUUCACACUGUAGUCUAAGCUGGGCUUGAACUUGUGAUUCUCCUGCCUCAGCCUCCUGAGUGCUGGUAUUACAAGUAUGUACCACUAUAUCUGGUAGCUCCCCCUCUUUCUAGCAUUUGCUUCUCCCCCACCCCGUGUAUGUGUGCGACAUGAUGCCAUGAUGUGCUUGUGGAGGUCAGCUCUCUCUCUCCCUUCUUCCACUAUGUGGAUCCUUGGGAAUUGAACCAAGGUCGUCAAGCUUGGCAGUUCAGAUGUAAGUGCACUUAUCGCCUGAGCUAUCUCAUCAGCUCCCCUAUCCCUGCCAGAGAUAGAGGCUCCUGAUGUUGGCCUAUGAAAUCUUGGGGAUCAAGCCAUCCUUCCAUUUGAGCUCUGGAGUUGAUGGGCCUACCCCAGUAGGCCCCAUGCCACCAUGCCCGGCUGGUACUCAUCCAUCUCCACUUUACAAAUGAGGAGCUGAGACUCAGACAACACAGCAAGCCCAAGAUCACAGGGCCUAAAAGUGGCGGAGAGUGGGAUGUGAGAGGCCACAGCACAGUCGUGGAUCACCUAGUGGGCUUUGGGCGAAGGCAGAUCUCAGUUCAGCCAUUUUCUGAUUGGAGCCCUCUGUUUGCUCAUCUGAGAGAGUAAAGGAGAAGGAAGGCCUGGCACAAAACUAGGCAGCACAACUUCCUUCAGUGCUCUGACCUCAUACAUCAAGCCAGGCUACCACCUUCUCAACCAGGAAUGCGAAGGGCAAGACAGAUCUUCCUGGCACUGAUGAGCUAUCAGAGAAUCCCAACUGACCAGCAGGCCUGUGUAUUCCCUGGACCAAACCAGUGGUCAGAAAAAUGGCUUGUGUAGUUCUUUAAUUAAAAAACUCUGGUUUAAUAUUUAUAUUAAUUUAAAAUAGUGUGUAUGUGUGUAUCUGUGUGCAGAUAUGUACAUUUGCUAUUGUAGUUACCCGAAGAGUCCAAAGGAUGAUGUCAGAUCCCUUGGGGCUUCAGUUAUAGCUCAUUGUGAGCUGCUCCACAUGGAUGCUGGGAACUGAACUGGGGUCCUCUGCAAGAG